rnacentral:rRNA from 1 species
AGCGAACGCUGGCGGCAGGCCUAACACAUGCAAGUCGAACGAACUCUUCGGAGUUAGUGGCGGACGGGUGAGUAACACGUGGGAACGUGCCUUUAGGUUCGGAAUAACUCAGGGAAACUUGUGCUAAUACCGAAUGUGCCCUUCGGGGGAAAGAUUUAUCGCCUUUAGAGCGGCCCGCGUCUGAUUAGCUAGUUGGUGAGGUAAAGGCUCACCAAGGCGACGAUCAGUAGCUGGUCUGAGAGGAUGAUCAGCCACAUUGGGACUGAGACACGGCCCAAACACCUACGGGAGGCAGCAGUGGGGAAUCUUGCGCAAUGGGCGAAAGCCUGACGCAGCCAUGCCGCGUGAAUGAUGAAGGUCUUAGGAUUGUAAAAUUCUUUCACCGGGGACGAUAAUGACGGUACCCGGAGAAGAAGCCCCGGCUAACUUCGUG